UUAUCAACGAAAGAGGAAUACAUUUCAAAAAAAAUAAAUUGCUUAAUGAAAUCGUUACUUUUGUUGAAGAUAAAUAUAAAGAUAUAAAAACGAGUGCGUAUUUUUUUGAUAUACCAGACUCAAAAUGUUAUGACACUUUUAAUUUGAAAGCUUAUAUUCAAUCAACAAAAGACUUGAAAAAUAAUUCCACUCUUUUUGGUGUUGACCAGAAGGAGCAAGAGAAUAAAAAAAAUAACAUAAUAAAAACCAAAGAUAGGGAAGUAACACAAGCAGAUAAAGACAUAAAGGGGGAAUACUCACCAAGUGGGGCAUUAAUUAUAAAAAAUGAAUUUCAAAAUGUUGAUAAACCGUUAAAAGGUAUUGACCCGAUCGUUGCUGCUGGUGUUACUGAUGUUACUCAUGACAUAACAAGUGAUAUUAAUACAGACGUGAUAAGUGACAUGUCAAGUGAUGCGGAAAACAAUAAUAUGAACACUGGAGAAGGAAAAAGGUACAGAGGCAAACAUAAAAAGAAGCGUGAUAAGAGUGAAAACAAAAAAGGAUUCAAUCAAUAUGAGAAAAAACAUAAAAAGCAUAAAACACAAGAAGGUCAAGAGGAAGAAGAGGAAGAAGAGGAAGAAGAGGAAGAAGAGAAAGAAGAGAAAGAAGUGAAAGAAGUGAAAGAAGUGAAAGAAGAGGAGCAAGAAAAUGUGCAAAACGUAAAGGACAAAAAAGAAAUAAAGAAACACAGNNNNNNNNNNAAACAAAGUACUGUAGAAAUUAGUUUUUUAUACUUUUUUAUCAACGAAAGAGGAAUACAUUUCAAAAAAAAUAAAUUGCUUAAUGAAAUCGUUACUUUUGUUGAAGAUAAAUAUAAAGAUAUAAAAACGAGUGCGUAUUUUUUUGAUAUACCAGACUCAAAAUGUUAUGACACUUUUAAUUUGAAAGCUUAUAUUCAAUCAACAAAAGACUUGAAAAAUAAUUCCACUCUUUUUGGUGUUGACCAGAAGGAGCAAGAGAAUAAAAAAAAUAACAUAAUAAAAACCAAAGAUAGGGAAGUAACACAAGCAGAUAAAGACAUAAAGGGGGAAUACUCACCAAGUGGGGCAUUAAUUAUAAAAAAUGAAUUUCAAAAUGUUGAUAAACCGUUAAAAGGUAUUGACCCGAUCGUUGCUGCUGGUGUUACUGAUGUUACUCAUGACAUAACAAGUGAUAUUAAUACAGACGUGAUAAGUGACAUGUCAAGUGAUGCGGAAAACAAUAAUAUGAACACUGGAGAAGGAAAAAGGUACAGAGGCAAACAUAAAAAGAAGCGUGAUAAGAGUGAAAACAAAAAAGGAUUCAAUCAAUAUGAGAAAAAACAUAAAAAGCAUAAAACACAAGAAGGUCAAGAGGAAGAAGAGGAAGAAGAGGAAGAAGAGGAAGAAGAGAAAGAAGAGAAAGAAGUGAAAGAAGUGAAAGAAGUGAAAGAAGAGGAGCAAGAAAAUGUGCAAAACGUAAAGGACAAA
rnacentral:lncRNA from 1 species